rnacentral:rRNA from 1 species
AGUGAACGGCUGGCGGCAGGCCUAAUACAUGCAAGUCGAACGGCAGCACAGCAGAGCUUGCUCUGUGGGUGGCGAGUGGCGGACGGGUGAGGAAUACAUGGGAAUCUGCCCAGUCGUGGGGGAUAACGUAUGGAAACGUACGCUAAUACCGCAUGCGCCCUACGGGGGAAAGCCGGGGACCGCAAGGCCUGGCGCGAUUGGAUGAGCCCAUGUUCGAUUAGCUAGUUGGCGGGGUAAAGGCCCACCAAGGCGACGAUCGAUAGCUGGUCUGAGAGGAUGAUCAGCCACACUGGAACUGAGACACGGUCCAGACUCCUACGGGAGGCAGCAGUAGGGAAUAUUGGACAAUGGGGGCAACCCUGAUCCAGCCAUGCCGCGUGAGUGAAGAAGGCCCUCGGGUUGUAAAGCUCUUUUGUCCGGAAAGAAAAGCAUCUGGUUAAUACCCGGGUGUUCUGACGGUACCGGAAGAAUAAGCACCGGCUAACUUCGUG